AGGGCCACUGGAGGCGGCAGAGUAGGUGGAGUGGACGGCCGCGUCCUCGACAUCCUUGGGAGGACAGGCGGCCUCCUUGUUUCCCCCCCCCCAGUACUUCGCCGAUAGCGAGGACGCAAGUUCGGAGGAUGCUGCAGGGCCCUCCCGCAGUGCACCAGCAACAACUGCGUUUGUGGUGUCGGGUCCUGCAGCUGUUGCUGGGCCAAGUGGCCUUACACAGCAACCGCCUACCCUCCAGCAGCCACCCUCGCAGCCGACCCCCCAGCC